rnacentral:rRNA from 1 species
GACGAACGCUGGCGGCGUGCUUAACACAUGCAAGUCGAACGGAAAGGCCCUGCUUUUGUGGGGUGCUCGAGUGGCGAACGGGUGAGUAACACGUGAGUAACCUGCCCUUGACUUUGGGAUAACUUCAGGAAACUGGGGCUAAUACCGGAUAGGAGCUCCUGCUGCAUGGUGGGGGUUGGAAAGUUUCGGCGGUUGGGGAUGGACUCGCGGCUUAUCAGCUUGUUGGUGGGGUAGUGGCUUACCAAGGCUUUGACGGGUAGCCGGCCUGAGAGGGUGACCGGCCACAUUGGGACUGAGAUACGGCCCAGACUCCUACGGGAGGCAGCAGCGGGGAAUAUUGCACAAUGGGCGGAAGCCUGAUGCAGCAACGCCGCGUGCGGGAUGACGGCCUUCGGGUUGUAAACCGCUUUCGCCCGUGACGAAGCGUGAGUGACGGUAAUGGGUAAAGAAGCACCGGCUAACUACGUG